CCCCGCACCCGCCCCGGCCCUUCCUCUUUCCCCGGGACGCCGCUGGUCCCGCGUCUUCGUGCUCUUUCUCCCCAAAAUGCCGGCUGUCCCCCUGCCCGGUCCCUCCUGUCACCCCGCCGCCCCCCUGUGUGCUCGGUGGGGCUCUCCUUGAAAAGUGCUUGCGUUUUUAAAACCUCGUUUCUCUUAGUUCCUCCCGCACUGUUCCACGGAGCCUCCGAAGCCCUUUAUUCCUCCAGCGCUUUCCAGCAGCCGCAGCGGCGCGGAGCGUGCCUUUUCAGCCAUGGGGACCCUGGACUAGACAGUCUCUUUGAACCACUCUUUCCUCAAGUAUUAAAACGACGGGAAACGGGACGUUUUAGACAACUGCUAGAAUGUGUGGGAUUACCUGGGGCUGAGGAGUCAAGUCUGUUCGCUCCCUCACUGUUUUUUGCCUCCCAAGAUCUCUCUGCCCAAGCUGCAGCAGACACUUGGAACUCUCCAUCCUAGAGAGAGAAGCACCAGAAUUGCCCCUGCCCAGCUGUGUGCUUAAGGAAACUUAGUUAUCACGUGACUGUCUUCCAAUGAGCAGGACUCCCUGCUAUCCUAAUAAACACCAGCAUGAAACCAAGUGGAAAUGUGCUUUAUUGUUGCUGUCAUCUCCAUCACCCCGACCA